UUGGAGGGCAAGUCUGGUGCCAGCAGCCGCGGUAAUUCCAGCUCCAAUAGCGUAUAUUAAAGUUGUUGCAGUUAAAAAGCUCGUAGUUGAAUUUUGGGGUUAGUAGGUUGGUCAUGCCUCUGGUAUGUACUGGUCUCACUGAUUCCUCCUUCCUGAUGAGCCGUAAUGCCAUUAAUUUGGUGUUGCGGGGAAUUUGGACUGUUACUUUGAAAAAAUUAGAGUGUUUAAAGUAAGCUAACGCUUGAAUACAUUAGCAUGGAAUAAUGAAAUAGGACGUUCGAUCCUAUUUUGUUGGUUUCUAGGAUUGACGUAAUGAUUAAUAGGGAUAGUUGGGGGCAUUAGUAUUCAAUUGUCAGAGGUGAAAUUCUUGGAUUUAUUGAGGACUAACUACUGCGAAAGCAUUUGCCAAGGAUGUUUUCAUUAAUCAAGAACGAAAGUUAGGGGAUCGAAGACGAUCAGAUACCGUCGUAGUCUUAACCAUAAGCUAUGCCGACUAGGGAUCGGAUGAUGUUAAUUUUUCAAUGACUCAUUCGGCGCCUUACGGGAAAC
rnacentral:rRNA from 1 species